AGUGAACGCUGGCGGUAGGCCUAACACAUGCAAGUCGAACGGCAGCACAGUAAGAGCUUGCUCUUACGGGUGGCGAGUGGCGGACGGGUGAGGAAUACAUCGGAAUCUACUUUUUCGUGGGGGAUAACGUAGGGAAACUUACGCUAAUACCGCAUACGACCUACGGGUGAAAGCAGGGGAUCUUCGGACCUUGCGCGAUUGAAUGAGCCGAUGUCGGAUUAGCUAGUUGGCGGGGUAAAGGCCCACCAAGGCGACGAUCCGUAGCUGGUCUGAGAGGAUGAACAGCCACACUGGAACUGAGACACGGUCCAGGCUCCUACGGGAGGCAGCAGUGGGGAAUAUUGGAAAAUGGGCGCAAGCCUGAUCCAGCCAUACCGCGUGGGUGAAGAAGGCCUUCGGGUUGUAAAGCCCUUUUGUUGGGAAAGAAAAGCAGCAGGUUAAUACCCCGCUGUUCUGACGGUACCCAAAGAAUAAGCACCGGCUAACUUCGUG
rnacentral:rRNA from 1 species